GACGAACGCUGGCGGCGUGCUUAACACAUGCAAGUCGAACGGAAAGGCCUUUUCGGAGGUACUCGAGUGGCGAACGGGUGAGUAACACGUGGGUGAUCUGCCCUGCACUCUGGGAUAAGCCUGGGAAACUGGGUCUAAUACCGGAUAGGACCGCACUUUAGUGUGUGUGGGGGAGAGUUUUUUCGGUGUAGGAUGAGCCCGCGGCCUAUCAGCUUGUUGGUGGGGUAAUGGCCUACCAAGGCGGCGACGGGUAGCCGGACUGAGAGGUUGGCCGGCCACAUUGGGACUGAGAUACGGCACAGACUCCUACGGGAGGCAGCAGUGGGGAAUAUUGCACAAUGGGCGCAAGCCUGAUGCAGCGACGCCGCGUGGGGGAUGACGGCCUUCGGGUUGUAAACUCCUUUCGCCAGGGACGAAGCGUUUUGUGACGGUACCUGGAGAAGAAGCACCGGCUAACUACGUG
rnacentral:rRNA from 1 species